rnacentral:rRNA from 1 species
UGGGGAAUAUUGCACAAUGGGGGAAACCCUGAUGCAGCCAUGCCGCGUGUGUGAAGAAGGCUUUCGGGUUGUAAAGCACUUUCAGCGAGGAGGAAAGGUUAGUAGUUAAUAACUGCUAGCUGUGACGUUACUCGCAGAAGAAGCACCGGCUAACUCCGUGCCAGCAGCCGCGGUAAUACGGAGGGUGCAAGCGUUAAUCGGAAUUACUGGGCGUAAAGCGCGCGUAGGCGGCUGACUAAGUCGGGUGUGAAAGCCCCGGGCUCAACCUGGGAACUGCAUUCGAUACUGGUCAGCUGGAGUAUGGGAGAGGAUAGUGGAAUUUCCGGUGUAGCGGUGAAAUGCGUAGAGAUCGGAAGGAACAUCAGUGGCGAAGGCGACUGUCUGGCCCAAUACUGACGCUGAGGUGCGAAAGCGUGGGGAGCAAACAGAUUAGAUACCCUGGUAGUCCACGCCGUAAACGAUGUCAACUAGCCGUUGGGGAACUUGAUUCUUUAGUGGCGCAGCUAACGCGAUAAGUUGACCGCCUGGGAGUACGGCCGCAAGG